AGUGAUCCAAUAAGUUUUUUUGAGGCUAAUUUAUUUAGGUCCUUUGCCUCUUGAAUGGCGGUCAUCUUUGACUUCCAAUUCUUUAGCAAAGAUCUAAGAAUUUUACACAUCACAUCACUGUUAGAAUAAUCUCUACCUAAACUUUUUAAUCCAUUCAAAAUAUCAGUGAAUCUAAUGAAUAUUUCAAUGAUUAUUUUAUGUGGUUCCAUUUUGAAUAGCUCAUACUUAUGU
rnacentral:lncRNA from 1 species